GGGGGCCACAGGCCAGCCAGCUCCAGGCGUCAGGACCUCUUGGCCUCGGUAGUAGGACACGGGAAGGAGACGUGCUCAGCACCAGUCUGGAGCCGAGUCCCAGGAGGAACCAAGAGGAGGCCCUCUGCAAAGAUGUCCGUUGUGACCAAGGUAUUAGCACAAGCAAGGCUUCUCAAGGCUCUGUUCAACUUAGACUCCGCGUCCAUUUCCUGAGGCCGCGGGCACCAACCCUAUGCCCGGCAUGGCACACAAGUGAUGGCGGCCUCGGGUUUGAUGAAGAAACCCCCAGGGCCACCUUGGCCCAUGUCAUCCUGAAUGCAACCCCGUGUCUGCCCCUGAGACUCAGCUUCCUCCCACCUCAUCUUCCCCGCACGGUGCAUGGAAAAGAACCAGAGUCAGAGAGGAAGAAAAGGGACUUUCA